UCUUUAUCGUCUCUGCUCCGCUCUGCGAUUGGUUCAACAAAUUAAACAUUUCAAUUUUCACAAACUAAAAAUCAAUCGAAAUUAAGCUUUAUCUAAAUUUCUAAUUUGUUAUUCAGGCCUCAGUAGUACUCUACUCGUACCAAAUCAAUUAAAUUAGGAAAAUACUAAUCACAGUCAUCAGUCUGAACGGUCCAACAUGUUUCAUAAGCGGAAUUCGCAUCAGUCAUCUUGUGCAAUCGUGUAAAUGAUAGAACUUAGUAGACCCGUGUUCAAACUUCAUAUCAUGCAGAUCCACUAAUGAAAAUAGAAUCGACUCUGGUUCACAACUCAUUACUAGAGCGAGCAUGUCACGCGCUGAAAUGCCGCGUUCGUCAACCCUCUCGUUAGAAACAAACCAGAACCGGUAAUUAAUAAGAAGCACCAAGCUUGCUUCACACUUCUCAGUUACGAAGUAGCACCCACCGACCGUCUAACCUUUCAACAGGGGCUUCACUCUAAGCACAAUGAUCGGCUCAUUUAGAAAACUUAAUCAGUUUUCGCUAUUGCAAACACUAGCUAUGCGAAGAUCUUUUUCUAGUGAUGGAGGGAAAAACCAAUGGUGGACCGCGGAUCCUUGCGUUAAAGUUUUAGAUCUGGGAAUGCAUUGCGCUCCAGUGCAUGUUAGACAGUAACCUAAGUAGUAAACAAUUAAGAAAGGCACUAGAACGUACCUCAUCAGCCACAGAGGGUCCAGG
rnacentral:misc_RNA from 1 species